GGACAGUAUGGGAGUGAGAAUGUUGGCAUGAGUAGCGAGAUGUGGGUGAGAAUCCCACAGGCCGUAAACCCAAGGUUUCCAGGGGAAGGUUCGUCCGCCCUGGGUUAGUCGGGACCUAAGCUGAGGCCGAAAGGCGUAGGUGAUGGACAACAGGUUGAUAUUCCUGUACUACCGAUAACCGUUUGAGAGAAGGGAUGACACAGUAGGAUAAGCUAAGCACACUGUUGGUUAU
rnacentral:rRNA from 1 species